rnacentral:misc_RNA from 1 species
UCCCGGUUGGCCCGGGCAGUCUCGCGUGAAAAAUUCAACACACGACAAGGGUUGCGCUCGUUGCGGGACUUAACCCAACAUCUCACGACACGAGCUGACGACGGCCAUGCAGCACCUGUCACCUGGCUCCCGAAGGCACCCCGUUGUUUCCAACAGGUUCCAGGGAUGUCAAGCCUCGGUAAGGUUCUUCGCGUAUCGUCGAAUUAAACCCCAUGCUCCACCGCUUGUGCGGGUCCCCGUCAAUUCCUUUGAGUUUUAAGCUUGCGCUCGUACUCCCCAGGCGGCAUGCUUAUCGCGUUAGCUUCUCAGCCCAAGGGGUCGAUACCUCAGACUAAUAGCAUGCAUCGUUUACGGCGUGGACUAC